rnacentral:rRNA from 1 species
CUACGGGAGGCAGCAGUGGGGAAUUUUGGACAAUGGGCGCAAGCCUGAUCCAGCCAUGCCGCGUGAGUGAAGAAGGCCUUCGGGUUGUAAAGCUCUUUCGGCCGGAACGAAAUUGCCUCCUCUAAUACGGGGGGUAGAUGACGGUACCGGAAGAAGAAGCACCGGCUAACUACGUGCCAGCAGCCGCGGUAAUACGUAGGGUGCGAGCGUUAAUCGGAAUUACUGGGCGUAAAGCGUGCGCAGGCGGCUCUUCAAGUCAGAUGUGAAAGCCCCGGGCUUAACCUGGGAACGGCGUUUGAAACUGGAGGGCUGGAGUGUGGCAGAGGGAGGUGGAAUUCCACGUGUAGCAGUGAAAUGCGUAGAGAUCGGAAGGGACACCAGUGGCGAAGGCGGCUCCCUGGACCAACACUGACGCUGAGGUGCGAAAGCGUGGGGAGCAAACAGGAUUAGAAACCCGAGUAGUCC